rnacentral:tRNA from 1 species
UAUAGGAUGGCAGAGGCAGGUAUAAAUGCAAAAGGCCUAAGCCCUUUGAUCAGAGGUUCAAAUCCUCUUCCUAUUA